rnacentral:rRNA from 1 species
AAAUGGAAAGACCGGUACAAGCGAGGUAGGAGAAGAGUUGGCAAAUCCGCUCUUUAAUCUGAAGACGUGAUGUGGACUGAAAAUAAGUAGGGAAGCACGUGAGCUGACUGUCAAGAAAAGCCGCUAUUGUUUGCAGGAUACCCGUACCGUAAACCGACACAGGUGGAUGAGGAGAGAAUCCUAAGGCCGACGGGAGAAGCAUUGUUAAGGAACUCGGCAAAAUGACUCCGUAACUUCGGGAGAAGGAGUGCCAGUAAGAUGGCCGCAGAGAAUUGGCCCAAGCAACUGUUUAGCAAAAACACAGGUCUAUGCAAAACCGAAAGGUGAGGUAUAUGGGCUGACGCCUGCCCGGUGCUGGAAGGUUAAGGGGAGAGGUUAGCGCAAGCGAAGCUUUGAACUUAAGCCCCAGUAAACGGCGGCCGUAACCAUAACGGUCCUAAGGUAGCGAAAUUCCUUGUCGGGUAAGUUCCGACCCGCACGAGAGGCGUAAUGAUUUGGGCACUGUCUCAACAAUGCACCCGGUGAAAUUGAAAUACCAGUGAAGAUGCUGGUUACCUGCACCAGGACGGAAAGACCCCAUGGAGCUUUACUCCAGCUUGAUACUGGGAUUCGGUAUUGCAUGUACAGGAUAGGUGGGAGGCUAGGAAAUGGUAACGCCAGUUGCCAUGGAGCCAAUGUUGGGAUACCACCCUUGCAGUACUGGGUUUCUAACCAGCAGCCGUGAUCCGGCUGGGGGACAAUGUCAGGUGGGGAGUUUGACUGGGGCGGUCGCCUCCGAAAGGGUAUCGGAGGCGCUCAAAGGUUCCCUCAGAAUGGUUGGAAACCAUUCGAAGAGUGCAAAGGCAGAAGGGAGCUUGACUGCGACACCGACGGGUGGAGCAGGUACGAAAGUAGGACUUAGUGAUCCGGUGGUAUAAAGUGGGAUUGCCAUCGCUCAACGGAUAAAAGCUACCCUGGAUAACAGGCUUAUCACUCCCAAGAGUUCACAUCGACGGAGUGGUUUGGCACCUCGAUGUCGGCUCAUCGCAUCCUGGGGCUGAAGUAGGUCCCAAGGGUUGGGCUGUUCGCCCAUUAAAGCGGUACGCGAGCUGGGUUCAGAACGUCGUGAGACAGUUCGGUCCCUAUCCGGCGUGGGCGUAAGAUAUUUGAGAGGAGCUGUCCUUAGUACGAGAGGACCGGGAUGGACUGGCCGCUGGUGUAUCUGUUGUCUUACCAAAGGCAUAGCAGAGUAGCCAAGCCGGGAAGGGAUAAACGCUGAAGGCAUCUAAGCGUGAAGCCCCCCUCAAGAUGAGAUAUCUCAUAACGUCAAGUUAGUAAGACCCCUUGAAGACGACGAGGUAGAUAGGGCAGAGGUGGAGGUGUGGUAACACAUGGAGCUGACUGUUACUAAUAGGUCGAGGGCAUAACCU